UCAGCUGCGCCGGGCGGUUCCGGCCCCUCCCUCUGCCGGUCGGUUCCUCAGUCCCACCAUGGUGCUGGAGUCGGUGGUCGCGGACCUGCUGAACCGCUUCCUGGGGGACUAUGUGGAGAACCUGAACAAGUCCCAGCUGAAGCUGGGGAUCUGGGGCGGUAAUGUGGCCUUAGAUAACCUACAGAUAAAAGAAAAUGCUCUGAGUGAAUUGGAUGUUCCUUUUAAAGUCAAAGCUGGCCAAAUUGAUAAAUUAACUUUGAAGAUUCCUUGGAAGAACCUUUAUGGAGAAGCAGUUAUUGCAACCUUGGAGGGACUAUACCUGCUUGUUGUCCCUGGAGCAAGUAUUAAAUAUGACGCUGAAAAAGAAGAAAAAUCUUUGCAAGAUAUUAAACAGAAAGAGCUAUCCCGAAUUGAAGAAGCCCUUCAAAAAGCGGCAGAGAAAGAUAAACCAAAAGAAGCCAAAAAGGAUACAUUUUUGGAAAAGUUGGCAACCCAAGUAAUUAAAAAUGUACAAGUAAAAAUCACAGACAUUCACAUUAAAUAUGAAGAUGAUGUUACUGAUCCACAGCAGCCUCUUUCAUUUGGUGUCACACUGGGAGAACUUAGUCUGUUGACUGCAAAUGAACACUGGACUCCAUGCAUAUUAAAUGAAGCAGAAAAAAUUAUAUACAAGCUUAUACGACUUGAUAGUCUUAGUGCCUAUUGGAAUGUAAACUGCAACAUGUCUUAUCAGGAGUCAAAGGAACAGAUCUUGGAUCAGCUGAAAAGUGGAAUUGUUACAAGUAGCAACAUACCUGUAAACCAUCAAUAUAUUUUCCAGCCAAUAUCAGCUUCUGCAAAGCUCUACAUGAAUCCUUAUGCAGAAACAGAGCUCAAAACACCCAAACUUGAUUGGAACAUAGAAGUACAGAAUAUUGCCAUUGAAAUGACCAAACCUCAGUACUUAAGUAUGAUUGACUUUUUGGAGUCAGUGGAUUAUAUGGUUAGAAAUGCCCCUUACAGGAAAUAUAAGCCCUAUUUACCACUUCAUACCAAUGGUCGACAAUGGUGGAAAUAUGCAAUUGAUUCUGUUCUUGAAGUUCAUAUAAGAAGGUAUACGCAGAUGUGGUCUUGGAAUAACAUAAAAAAACACAGGCAGCUGCUCAAGAGUUAUAAAAGUGCCUAUAAGAGCAAGUUAACCCAACCUAAAGUCCCAGAAGAAAUACAGAAACAAAUUCAGGAUUUGGAGAAGACUCUAGAUGUUUUUAAUAUAAUUUUAGCAAGGCAACAAGCACAAGUUGAGGUGAUUCGAUCUGGGCAAAAAUUAAGGAAAAAGUCUACUGACACAGGCGAGAAACGUGGAGGCUGGUUUAGUGGGUUUUGGGGUAAGAAGGAGUCUAAGAAAAAAGAUGAAGAAUCUUUGAUUCCUGAAACUAUUGAUGACAUUAUGACUGCAGAGGAGAAAGAUAAGCUCUUCACUGCUAUUGGCUAUAGUGAGAGCACCCACAACUUAGCCUUACCGAAGCAGUAUGUUGCCCAUAUAAUGACACUGAAGCUAGUAAGCACCUCUGUUACAAUAAGAGAAAACCAAAAUAUUCCAGAAAUACUGAAAAUUCAGAUAAUUGGCUUGGGCACUCAAGUAUCUCAGCGACCAGGAGCACAAGCACUUAAGGUGGAAGCAAAAUUAGAACAUUGGUAUAUAACAGGUCUGAAACAGGAGGGUAUUGUACCAUCACUUGUGGCUUCCAUUGGUGAUACUACCUCAUCCUUGCUUAAAAUCGAGUUUGAAACCAAUCCAGAGAAUAGCACUGCUGACCAGACUCUGAUUGUUCAGUCUCAGCCUGUGGAGGUCAUCUAUGAUGCUAAAACUAUCAAUGCAGUUGUUGAAUUCUUUCAAUCAAAUAAAGGAUUAGAUCUUGAGCAAAUAACAUCAGCUACAUUAAUGAAGCUGGAAGAAAUUAAAGAGAGAACAGCUACAGGACUUACACAUAUUAUUGAAACUCGAAAAGUCCUUGAUUUAAGGAUAAAUCUGAAACCUUCUUAUCUAAUACUUCCACAGACAGGUUUCCACCAUGAAAAGUCAGAUCUUCUCAUUUUAGAUUUUGGUACAUUUCAGCUUAACAGUAAAGAUCAAGGUUUGCAGAAGACUAAUAAUUCAUCUCUGGAAGAAUUAAUGGAUAAAGCCUAUGACAAGUUUGAUGUUGAAAUAAAAAGUGUGCAGUUAUUCUUUGCACGAGCAGAGGAAAACUGGAAAAAAUGUCGAUUUCAGCAUCCAUCAACUAUGCAUAUAUUGCAACCCAUGGAUAUUCAUGUUGAGUUGGCCAAGGCAAUGGUAGAAAAAGACAUUAGAAUGGCCAGAUUGAAACUAUCUGGAGGACUCCCUUUGGUGCAUGUGAGAAUUUCUGACCAGAAGAUGAAAGAUGUGCUAUGUUUGAUUAACAGUAUACCCUUGCCACAGAAAUCCCCUGCACAGUCUCCAGAGAGACAGGUAUCCUCAAUUCCUGUUAUUUCAGAUAGGACAAAAGACCUACUUGGUACUUCACUGUUGCUAGAUGGAGUAGAAUCAGAGUCUGAUGAUGAAUAUUUUGAUGCUGAAGAUGGAGAUAUGCAGACUGGCAAAAGUAUGAGAGGUUCAGAACUAAAAAAAGUUGCAGAGGCCCCAAAUGAGGAGCUCAUUAAUCUUUUACUAAAGUUUGAAAUUAAAGAGGUGGUUUUGGAAUUUACCAAACAACAGAAAGAAGAAGAUACAAUUCUAGUGUUUAAUAUUACUCAUUUAGGAACAGAGGCUACAGUGAGAACAUUUGAUAUAACUGUGGUAUCUUAUUUAAAGAAAAUCAGCUUAGAUUACCAUGAAAUUCAAGGAUCCAGAAAGAAACCCCUUCACUUGAUUAGUUCUUCUGAUAAACCUGGGUUAGAUCUCUUAAAAGUAGAAUAUGUUAAGGCUGAUAAGAAUGGACCUAGUUUUCAAACUACUUUUGAAAAAACUGAACAAACACUUAAGGUGGCUUUUUCAUCUUUAAAUCUGUUACUGCAAACACAAGCUCUCCUGUCUUCUAUUAAUUAUCUGACAACCAUAAUCCCAUCUGAUGACCAAAGAAGUGAUACCAAAGAAGUGCAAAUUUCAGAUGAAAAGCAACAAAAAAAUUUAGCUCUGCAGAAAGCGAUUGUAUCCUCUAAAGAUAGGGACAUUAUUGACUUCAGGCUGUUUGCCAAAUUGAAUGCUUUCUGUGUCACUGUUUGUGAUGAGAAGAACAAUAUUGCUGAAAUCAAGAUUCAAGGUCUUGAUUCUUCUCUUUCUCUUCAGUCAAAAAAGCAGUCCCUAUUUGCCAGACUGGAAAAUAUUAUUGUCACAGAUGUGGAUCCUAAGACAGUCCAUAAAAAAGCUGUAUCAAUAAUGGGAAAUGAAGUUUUUCAUUUUAACUUGGAUUUGUAUCCAGAUGCUACUGAGGGAGAGUACUAUACUGACAUGUCCAAAGUGGAUGGUGUUGUAUCACUGAAUGUUGGCUGUAUUCAGAUUGUCUAUCUUCAUAAAUUCCUCAUGUCACUUCUGAACUUCCUGAGCAAUUUCCAGACAGCCAAAGAGGCUCUAAGUGCUGCUACUGCUCAGGCUGCAGAAAAGGCUGCCAGAAGUGUGAAAGAUCUUGCCCAGAGGAGUUUUCGUGUUUCUAUCAAUAUUGAUUUGAAAGCACCAGUUAUAGUCAUCCCACAGUCUUCCAAUUCCACUAAUGCAGUAGUGGUCGAUCUUGGGCUAAUUAGAGUUCAAAAUCAGUUUAGUCUUGUGUCUGUGGAAGACUGUUUAAACCCUCCAGUAAUUGAUAGAAUGGAUGUACAGCUAACAAAGCUCAAGCUCUCUAGGACAGUGAUCCAGCCGGGUACCUCCCAUCUUGAUAUUCAGCUCUUGCACCCAAUUAACUUGGAAUUUUCUGUAAAUCGGAAUCUAGCUGCAUCUUGGUAUCACAGAGUGCCUGUUGUAGAAAUUAAAGGACAUCUUGAAUCAAUGAAUGUUAAUCUGAAUCAAGAAGAUCUUAAUCUUUUAUUUAGAAUACUAGCAGAAAAUCUCGGUGAGGCUCCUGAAGACAUAAAUAAAAUGAAACCAGGAGUACAAAAGACAGGUGAAAUUAAAGGACCGCUUGAAAUCUCUACAGCAAAACAAGAUGUACAUGCUUCCCAUGGUACUUCAACAGCUGGAGUGGAAGAAAUGAGAUCUGUAGACAUUAUUAAUGUGCUGCUGAAUUUUGAAAUAAAAGAGGUUGUGAUUACUUUGAUGAAAAAAGCAGAAAAGAAAGGAAGGCCUUUACAUGAACUGAAUGUCCUGCAGCUUGGAAUGGAAGCUAAAGUUAAACCCUAUGACCUGACUGCUAAAGCUUAUUUAAAAAAAAUUAGUAUGCGAUGCUUUGAGUUCAGUGACUCUGUAGGACAGCCGCUUCACAUUAUUAACUCUUCUAAUGUAACUGAGGAGCCGCUGCUAAAAAUGUCACUGACAAAGGCAGACAGUGAUGGACCAGAAUUUACAACCAUUCAUGACAAUACCAAACAGAGACUGAAGGUUUCAUUUUCAUCCUUAGACUUAAUACUUCAUUUGGAAGCUUUACUAUCCUUCAUGGAUUUCUUAUCAUCUGCUGUUCCAUCUUCUGAACCUUCCUCUUUGGAAAAGGAAUCAUCUGAGCUGAAACCACUUGUGGGGGAGUCCAGAAAUAUCGUUGUCAAAGCUGUAUCUAGCAGUACUUCUCAAGAUGAUGUGUUUGAUUUAAAGGUCAUAGCUGAAUUAAAUGCAUUUAAUGUCUUUGUCUGUGAUCAGAAGUGUAACAUUGCAGAUAUUAGAAUACGUGGAAUGGAUGCCUCUAUUUCUGUGAAGCCAAAGCAGACUGACAUGUUUGCCAGACUUAAGGAUAUAGUAAUUACGAAUGUUGAUUUGCUGUCCAUUCACAAAAAGGCUGUCUCUAUUUUGGGAGAUGAAGUCUUUAGGUUCCAAAUGACUCUUUAUCCAGAUGCUACAGAAGGAAAGGCCUAUGCUGAUAUGUCUAAAGUGGAUGGGAAACUUAGCCUAAAAGUGGGUUGUAUCCAAAUUGUUUAUGUUCAUAAAUUCUUCAUGUCUCUUUUGAACUUCCUCAACAAUUUCCAAACUGCCAAAGAAGCUUUGAGUUCAGCCACAGUCCAGGCUGCAGAAAGAGCUGCUUCCAGCAUGAAAGACUUGGCUCAAAAGAGUUUCCGCCUUUUGAUGGAUAUUAACUUGAAAGCACCAGUUAUUAUCAUUCCUCAGUCUUCAGUAUCGCCAAAUGCUAUUGUAGCAGAUCUGGGUUUAAUCAGAGUUGAAAACAAAUUUAGCUUAGUUCCUAUGGAACAUUAUUCUCUUCCUCCAGUCAUUGACAAGAUGAACAUUCAGCUAACUCAGUUGAAGUUGUCUAGAACUCUUUUGCAGAAUGGCUUGGCACAACCUGACAUUGAAAUUUUAAAACCAGUCAACUUACUUUUGUCCAUACAGCGAAAUUUAGCAGCAGCAUGGUAUGUGCAAAUUCCAGGGAUGGAGAUAAAAGGAAAACUAAAACCUAUGUUGAUUGCUCUCAGUGAAGAUGACUUAACAGUUUUAAUGAAAAUUCUGCUAGAAAAUCUUGGAGAAGCUUCUUCACAGCCAAGCCCUACACAGACUAUCCAGGAGGCUAUAAGAAUAAGGAAAGAUGUUCUGGGUGGGUCCGACCACCUCAAAGAACAAGAUUUGACAGACUCAAAGCUUUCCGUGGACCAAAAUGUCACUCUCCAAUUUGACUUUCACUUUGAAUCUCUUUCCAUUGUCCUUUAUAACAAUGAUAUCAACCAGGAAUCCAAACUUUCAUUUCACAAUGACAGUUUCCGGCUUGGUGAACUCAGACUACAUCUUAUGGCCUCCGUGGGGAAGAUGUUUAAGGAUGGCUCAAUGAAUGUCAGCCUUAAACUGAAAACAUGCACACUUGAUGAUCUCAGAGAAGGCAUUGAGAGAGCAACAUCAAGAAUGAUUGAUAAAAAGAACGACCAAGAUGACAACAGUUCUAUGAUUGAUAUAAGUUACAAACAAAGCAAAACUGGAAGUCACAUUGAUGCUAUUCUUGACAAGUUAUAUGUAUGUGCCAGUGUGGAGUUUCUGAUGACUGUGGCUGAUUUCUUUAUCAAAGCUGUGUCUCAGAAUCCAGAAAAUAUGGCAAAAGAAGCACAGAUUCCACUACGACAGACGGCCACAGCAAAAGUCAAGAUGGAGAAAGACGACUCUGUAAGACCAAAUAUGACUUUAAAGGCCAAGAUCACAGAUCCCGAAGUGGUAUUUGUUGCCAAUCUGACAAAAGCUGAUGCUCCUGCUCUGACAGCCUCAUUCCAGUGUAACCUCUCUCUGUCAACAUCCAAACUUGAACAGAUGAUGGAAGCUUCUGUGAGAGAUCUUAAAGUCCUGGCUUGCCCUUUUCUCAGAGAAAAAAGAGGAAAAAACAUUACCACAGUCUUACAGCCAUGUUCUUUAUUUAUGGAAAAAUGUAUGUGGGCCUCAGGAAAACAAAAUAUAAGUAUUAUGGUUGAAGAAUUUAUAAUUAAGAUUUCACCAAUAAUUCUGAAUACUGUGAUGACAAUCAUGGCUGCUAUGACUCCAAAGACAAAAGAAGAUGAAUCCAAGGAUACAUCUAAGGAAACAGAAAAUCUUUGGGGUGUCAAACCUAUUAGUGAUUAUAACUCUUGGUUUCUUGGUGUUGACAUGGCAACCGAAGUAACAGAAAAUUUCAAAGACAUUCAGCAUCAAUCAGUAGAGGAAAAUUGUGCUGUUGCUGUAGAGUCAGUUCAAGUUACUUUAGAAUGUGGCCUUGGACAUCGAACUGUACCUUUAUUGCUGGCAGAGUCUAAGUUUUCUGGAAAUAUUAAAAAUUGGACUUCCCUAAUGGCUGCUACUGCUGACAUGACAUUAGAGGUUCACUAUUACAAUGAGACUCAUGCUAUUUGGGAGCCACUGAUUGAGCGAGUGGAGGGGAAGAGACCAUGGAAUUUAAGGCUUGAUAUAAAGAAGAAUCCGGUCCAGGAUAGAAGUUUAAUGCCAGGAGAUGAUUUUAUUUUUCUUCCUGAGCCACAAACUGCAGUUCAUAUUUCUUCAGGAGAUACAAUGAAUAUAACAAUAUCCAAAAGUUGCCUUAAUGUCUUCAACAAUUUAGCCAAAGGUUUUUCAGAGGGCACUGCUUCUACUUUUGACUACUCUUUAAAAGAUAGAGCUCCUUUUACGGUAAAAAAUGCUAUAGGUGUUCCUGUCAAGGUGCAGCCCAAUCAUAGUCUUAGAGUAAUAGGCUCCCCUGGGAAAAGUGGUGUUUAUGAUGUUGAUGUUGGUCAAAAUUUGGAAUUGGAAUAUGCUAGCAUGGAACCUUCACGACAAGGAAAAUUAUCUGUAUUGAGCCGUCAAGAAAGCUCCUUCUUCGCUCUAACCUUUGUACCUCAUGGAUAUACGGAAGUUGCAAAAGUCCCUGUUGCCAGAUCUGGAAGGCGAUUGUAUAAUGUACGGAAUCCCAAUGCCAGUCAUUCUGACUCAGUCUUGGUACAAAUUGAUGCAACUGAAGGGAAUAAAGUAAUUACCCUUCGCUCUCCUCUGCAGAUUAAAAACCAUUUCUCUAUUGCAUUCAUCAUCUAUAAAUCUGUUAAAAACGUUAAGCUAUUGGAGCGCAUUGGAAUAGCCAGACCUGAAGAGGAGUUCCAUGUUCCUUUAGAUUCAUAUAGAUGUCAGUUGUUUAUUCAGCCAGCUGGUAUCUUAGAAAAUCACUACAAAGUAUCCACCACUUAUAUUUCUUGGAAGGAAGAACUUCACAGGAGCAGGGAAGUCAGAUGCAUGCUUCAAUGUCCAUCAGUAGAAGUCAACUUCUUACCUCUCAUUGUCAAUACUGUUGCUCUGCCUGAUGAAUUAAGCUAUAUAUGUACCCAUGAGGAAGACUGGGAUCCAGCUUACAUUAUUCAUCUUUAUCCUACCCUCACUUUGCGGAACCUUCUCCCAUAUUCUCUAAGAUACUUACUUGAGGGAACAGCAGAAACUCAUGAGCUAGCAGAAGGCAGUGCUGCUGACGUUCUACAUUCAAAAAUCAGUGGGGAAGUAAUGGAAUUAGUUCUGAUGAAAUAUCAGGGCAGAAACUGGAGUGGACAUUUCCGUAUAUGUGAUACACUUCCCGAAUUCUUUCUUGUAUGUUUUUCCUCUGACUCUGCAGAAGUGAUGACAAUUGACUUGUCAAUACAUGUCAGACGAAUUGGCAGCCGGAUGGUGCUAUCUGUCUUUAGUCCCUAUUGGCUAAUCAACAAGACAUCUCGGGUUCUCCAGUAUCGUGCAGAAGACAUUCACAUGAAACAUCCAGCUGAUUUCAGGGAUAUUAUUUUAUUCUCUUUCAAGAAGAAGAACAUUUUUAGUAAAAAUAAGGUACAAUUAAAAAUUUCAACUAGUGCCUGGUCCAGUAGUUUUUCAUUGGAUACAGUGGGAAGUUAUGGGUGUGUGAAGUGUCCUGCCAACAAUAUGGAAUACCUGGUUGGUGUUAGCAUCAAAAUGAGCAGUUUUAAUCUUACACGAAUAGUUACUCUGACCCCCUUUUGUACCAUUGCAAACAAGUCAUCAUUAGAACUAGAAGUUGGUGAAAUUGCAUCUGAUGGCUCAAUGCCAACUCAUAAGUGGAACUAUAUUGCUUCUUCAGAGUGCCUUCCCUUUUGGCCUGAAAACUUGUCAGGCAAACUUUGUGUGAGAGUGGUGGGCUGUGAAGGAUCCUCCAGACCAUUUUUUUAUAAUCGACAAGAUAAUGGCACUUUAUUGAGCUUAGAAGAGCUGAAUGGGGGCAUCUUGGUGGAUGUAAACAUUGCUGAACAUUCAACUGUCAUAACCUUUUCUGAUUAUCAUGAGGGAUCUGCACCUGCCCUAGUAAUAAACCACACAUCACAGGAUGUCGUCACAUAUAAACAGAGUGGGUCACAGGAAGAAGUACACUUGGUGCCAGGAGAAGCUCGACUCUUUGCUUGGGCAGAUCCUACUGGUACCAAAAAACUUACAUGGACGUAUGCAGCAAAUACUGGAGAACACAGUCUGUUAAAGGAUGAAUGUGGCCAGUUUCCCUAUGAUGCAAACACCCAGAUACACUGGGUAUCAUUCCUAGAUGGGCGCCAGAGAGUGUUGCUUUUCACUGAUGAUGUUGCCUUGGUUUCCAAAGCACUGCAGGCAGAAGAAAUGGAGCAGGCCGAUCAUGAAAUAACCUUUUCUCUCCACAGUCUUGGGCUUUCCCUGAUUAACAAUGAAAACAAGCAGGAAGUUUCAUAUAUUGGGAUAACCAGUUCUGGUGUUGUUUGGGAAAUGAAACCAAAACAGAAAUGGAAGCCUUUUAGUCAAAAGCAGAUAAUGUUGCUGGAACAGGCCUAUAAAAAAUAUCAAGUAUCAAGAGACCAUGGAUGGAUUAAACUAGAUAAUAAUUUUGAGGUCAAUUUUGAUAAAGUUCCCAUGGAAAUGCGCCUCCCUGUUCAUUGCCCGAUAAAGCGAGAUUUUUUAUCCGGGAUUCAGAUUGAAUUUAAGCAGUCUCCUCACCAGAGAAGUUUAAGAGCCAGACUGUACUGGCUUCAGGUUGAUAAUCAGUUACCAGGUACAAUGUUUCCUGUUGUAUUUCAUCCUGUGGCUCCUCCAAAAUCUAUUGCUUUGGAUUCAGAGCCCAAACCUUUCAUUGAUGUGAGUGUCAUCACAAGAUUUAAUGAAUACAGCAAAGUACUACAGUUCAAGUACUUUAUGGUCCUCAUUCAGGAAAUGGCCUUGAAAGUUGAUCAGGGGUUUCUAGGAGCUAUUAUCACACUGUUUACCCCAGCAACUGACCCUGAAGCUGAAAGAAAACGGACAAAGUUAAUCCAACAAGAUAUUGAUGCUCUAAACACAGAAUUAAUGGAGACUUCAAUGACUGAUAUGUCAGUUCUUAGUUUCUUUGAACACUUCCAUAUUUCUCCUAUUAAGUUGCACUUGAGUCUGUCGUUGGGUACUGGAAGUGAAGAGUCAGACAAAGAAAAACAGGAAAUGAUUGCAAUUCAUUCUGUCAAUCUGCUAUUGAAAAGCAUAGGUGCUACGCUGACUGAUGUGGAUGACCUAAUAUUCAAACUUGCUUAUUACGAAAUUCGGUAUCAGUUUUACAAGAGAGAUCAGCUUAUGUGGAGUGUUGUUAGACAUUACACUGAACAGUUCUUGAAACAGAUGUAUGUCCUGGUAUUGGGCUUAGAUGUGCUUGGAAACCCAUUUGGAUUAAUUAGAGGUCUGUCUGAAGGAGUUGAAGCUUUAUUCUAUGAACCCUUCCAGGGUGCUGUUCAAGGCCCUGAAGAAUUUGCUGAGGGGUUAGUGAUUGGAGUAAGAAGUCUCUUUGGACACACUGUAGGUGGUGCAGCAGGAGUUGUAUCCCGCAUCACCGGUUCUGUUGGAAAAGGUUUGGCAGCAAUUACAAUGGACAAGGAAUAUCAGCAAAAAAGAAGAGAAGAGAUGGGUCGACAACCUAAAGAUUUUGGAGAUAGCCUGGCCAGAGGAGGAAAGGGCUUCCUACGUGGAGUUGUUGGUGGAGUAACUGGGAUAAUAACAAAACCUGUGGAAGGUGCCAAAAAGGAAGGAGCUGCUGGAUUCUUUAAAGGAAUUGGAAAGGGGCUUGUGGGUGCUGUGGCUCGUCCAACUGGUGGAAUCAUAGAUAUGGCUAGCAGCACCUUUCAAGGAAUUCAGAGGGCCGCAGAAUCAACCGAGGAAGUGUCCAGGCUCCGUCCCCCUCGUUUCAUCCAUGAAGAUGGCAUCAUUCGCCCAUAUGAAAGACAGGAAUCCGAGGGCUAUGAUUUAUAUGAGCAAGAACCGGAAAUACAGGAGUAAAUGUUUCCUAUACUACUACUUGAUUUCAUCCUUAAAAAUCAAAACAAACUGUGGUAUUAAUUGACUGUCUUAGAUUUAUUUAGAUUGAGUGUUCAUUUCAAUGAAGUUUUCUUUACAACUCUCACCUCUCAGCUUUUUAUUGUAGUAGCUUGACUACAAACAAAGAUGAUGGUAUUCUUAGUAAUACUGCACAGGAAUAAGAGAUUAGUAAAAAAAAAAUUAGAGGGUGUAGGAAAUAAACUCUCCUCUUUUUUAAUUGGUGAAAGACUUUAUUUGUGUCCAGAAGCAAUUUUACUAUCAUUUUGAAAAUUUUUUCUUUUCUUAUGGUAUUCAUGACUUUCAGGUAAAGUUGAAAAAUAAGGACAAUUGUCAGGUCCAGUCUAUUUUGUGUUCUUUACAUUUGUGAGUCCUGAUGAUGGAAUUACAUAACUCUGUUUCACACAUCAUCUGAGAUUGAAUCAAAUUAUAGGGGUGUUAACUGGGGCAUAUGUUUUAAUAAUUGAAAUAUAAGUAGCUGUUGGUCUGUCCUUAGACCUCAAUCAGAGUUGAGGCAUGAAUUUUGAGAACGUGUUCCCUUAAUCUCUUUUCUUUUUUUAACCUCUCAGAACUCUCACUGGACAAAUGGCAAUCAUAUUAUAUAUAUAUUACAUACAUCCUCAGCCGUUAGUAUUUUUGCUUUUCAGAACUUGAAUCUCUUUUUUUUUUCUUUUAAAGAUUUUAUUUAUUUAUUCAUGAGAGACACAGAGAGAGAAGGCAGAGACUUAGGCAUCCAUUAGCAUUUUUGCUUUUCAGAACUUGAAUCUCUUUCUUUUCUUUUAAAUAUUUUAUUUAUUUAUUCAUGAGAGACACAGAGAGAGAGGGGCAGAGACUGUAUGGAGUCUGAUGUGGGACUUGAUCCCAGGAUUCCAGGAUCAUGCCCUGAGCUGAAGGCAGCCACUUAACCACUGAGCCACCCAGGCAUCCCCAGAACUUGCAUCUCUUUGUUGGUUGUGCUUAUUUCACAUGUUUUAAUUAACAUAAAUAGGAGUAGAACAUGUAAUUCGGCAAAUUAUUUAUGUGUCCAUUGAAUUUAUAUAUAACUUUAUUUUUUAUAGAUAUCUUUAUUUUUAAAAACCAAUCCUUUUUGCUUUUAAGUUCUUAAGGAGGAUUUAUCUUAAUGAGAACAAAAAUUAUUCUAAAGUGUCAUUUUGAAAUUGGUACCCUAAUAGUUCUGAAAAUAAAUUGUGUUUUGAUUUCUCUUCUUUUAUAAGUGGUAGAAAUGUUUGAAAUGUUUGAUUUGAUUUAGCAGCAUCUUAUCUGGCAACUUUCAUUCUUCUCCCCAAAAUUGAAACCAAAGUGUAAACUUAUAUUUAAUGUACCGUCCAUUUGUAGAGAGUGAAACAGCUGACAUAUAACUGUUCAGUUGGAUUAUGUAUUGUUUAAACUGCAGUUACUGAAAGAAUAAAUUGAAUGCUUAUUUAAAACAAGCACUUAAAGAAGAAAGAAUGACACCUAAAGAUCAGCCUAAAACCAUAGCUGACAAACUUUUCUUGUGCCUAGAUAAUUGAGGGUUGGCAAAAAUGUCACCGCAUGUACAGUUUCUGAGAACCAAGCACAGUAACUAAUUCAAGAUGCUGUCUUAAAUCAUCACUAAUAAUUAGCCUUCCUUCUUAGAAUCAUAUCAGAAAGUUAGAAGGAGAGACGUAUCGAUACCACUGUGCUAUUUCUGGAAGCAAGAAGGCAAUCCUUAUGAUUACAAAUAGGCGAGUGUUGUGUAUAAAUGAAGUUGAAAUCCUAGGCCAUAUGUCCA